CAUGCAAGUCGAGGGGUAACAGGAAAUAGCUUGCUAUUUUGCUGACGACCGGCGCACGGGUGCGUAACGCGUAUAGAACCUACCUUUUACAGGGGAAUAGCCCAGAGAAAUUUGGAUUAAUGCCCCAUAGUAUUAUAGAAUGGCAUCAUUUUAUAAUUAAACAUUUAUGGGUAAAAGAUGGCUAUGCGUUCUAUUAGCUAGAUGGUAAGGUAACGGCUUACCAUGGCAACGAUAGAUAGGGGUCCUGAGAGGGAGAUCCCCCACACUGGUACUGAGACACGGACCAGACUCCUACGGGAGGCAGCAGUGAGGAAUAUUGGACAAUGGAGGCAACUCUGAUCCAGCCAUGCCGCGUGCAGGAAGACGGUCCUAUGGAUUGUAAACUGCUUUUAUACAGGAAGAAACCUCUCCACGUGUGGAGAGCUGACGGUACUGUAAGAAUAAGCACCGGCUAACUCCGUGCCAGCAGCCGCGGUAAUACGGAGGGUGCAAGCGUUAUCCGGAAUCAUUGGGUUUAAAGGGUCCGUAGGCGGACUAAUAAGUCAGGGGUGAAAUCCAACAGCUUAACUGUUGAACUGCCUUUGAUACUGUUAGUCUUGAAUUAUAUGGAAGUAGAUAGAAUGUGUAGUGUAGCGGUGAAAUGCUUAGAGAUUACACAGAAUACCGAUUGCGAAGGCAGU
rnacentral:rRNA from 1 species